rnacentral:rRNA from 1 species
AUCUCUGUAGAGUCUGCAUAUCAAUAAGCGGAGGAAAAGAAACUAACAAGGAUUCCCUUAGUAACGGCGAGUGAAGCGGGAAGAGCUCAAAUUUGAAAUCUUCAAGGUUCUACCUUGACGAAUUGUAGUUUAAAGAAGUGUUUUCUGUUAGAUGAGUAGCAAAAGUUCCUUGGAAUGGGACAUCAUAGAGGGUGAGAAUCCCGUAUUUGGUUAUUCAUUCUAGCUUUGUGAUACACUUUCAAAGAGUCGGAUUGUUUGGGAAUGCAGUCCAAAAUGGGUGGUAAAUUACAUCUAAAGCUAAAUAUUGGCGAGAGACCGAUAGCGAACAAGUACCGUGAGGGAAAGAUGAAAAGAACUUUGAAGAGAGAGUUAAAUAGUACGUGAAAUUGUCAAAAGGGAAGCGUUUGACACCAGUGUUGUUUUUCCGAAAAUCAAUUACGAAUGGCUUGAUUUUGUGUUGUAUUGACCUUAUCAGCUUUCUUCACUUUCUUCGAGUCUUUCUUAAUGCACUUUUCAGUUAACAAGUCAACAUCAAUUUCUUUUGUUGUAAAAGAGUAUUCGGAAGGUGGCUUUCUUUUCGGAGAAAGUGUUUAUAGCCCUAUACUUCUACAAUCGGAGAGAUUGAGGUCUGCAGCGUAGAUCCUUCGGGGUUAGAUACAUUUGUGCUAAGUUGUAGCUUUUCAUAGACAACUUGUUGACUAUGUUUAGUCAUGCGGCUUACUCGCUUAUGCUAUUUUACCUACGCUUAGGAUGUUGACUGAUAUGUAGUCGUA